CUGUGUCUAUUGGCCAGCCUCUCUGACUGUAGCGUCACGACCUUAAAGUGGAUUAGUUAGCCUUGUGGUCAGUCAUAGUGACCCCUAACAAUGGGAAACUCCAUUGGCGCCAUAAAGUGUCGGUCACUUUGUCACAGGACGUCGCGUGGUACAAUUGGCCGGUGAGGGUACUAUUCAUCCCGCCUCCAUCUGAGGUGACGGGAAAGGGCUGGGGAAUUUCCACUUCUGAAUAAAAUGAGGGCUUGAAGUGACGACUCGCAAGAAUUAAUAAAAUUUGGAGUAGACCUAACCCUGCGCUUGGUGAAGCUCGAAUGCCAAGGAUGCAAGAGGCGCAGAGGUAACGCAGCUUCCACCUGUCGCUCUCCGCCGGGUGCCGAGACUAUGGCCGGAAAGUAGCUGCACCGGGAUUGGAGGAAAGAAGGAAUCGUUCUCAUCGAGACCCCACCUUCCUGCCAAUGCCUGGUUGGAGGACCGCAGCGUCAGUCACUCUGGGACAGGUGAGGCUGCCUAACCCUUCAGCCUCUGCCUCUGCCUCUGCCCCUGCCUCUCUGCCUCUUUGGGCGGGAGCGGGAGGCAGAGAGCGGAUAGGGAAGGGGAGAGGGGCUGGGCGCUUCCUGCGGACCCUUCCGCCUUUCCAAGUUGAACCCGGCGCGCGGAGCUGAGGGAACCCGGGGAGCAGCUCCAGAUGGCCGCCCUGAGGCAACUGGGCCCUCCCGCAUGCUGGGACGUGGCUGGGCGCGGCGAUUCUACGGGCUUUAGGAGCGAUCGCCCCGCGGGACCGCGUUCUCUUGCGUGUGGAAGGCGGCGGGCCAGCGAGGCUGGACAGCGCCAUCUCUCAGUACCGGGAACUGUCCCACCAAGGCCGCGAACAGCGCGCUGAAUCCAACCUCAGGGCUGAACUGAGCGAAGGAGGAGUGCUCCAGGGGAGUUUUGAGUUCUGGUGCCGCCACUUAUUUGCUGGGUGACCUUGAUGGGUUUGAUGUUACUCCAUGUGCAAUGGAAAUAAUAUCAGUACCUGCCUCAAUGGGUGGUGGUUGUGAAUAAAUUCGGUGAUGACCUAAAGUGGCAAACUCAAAGGAAAGAAUAAUUUUGGUACUCACUGCCCCUUCUGCCUUCAGGAGUUCUCUGCCAGUCCUGGGUUCUGCCAGCCCAACCAAUUCCACCCAGACGCUGAUGCAAAACAAAGCUAACUAAGAGGGUUCUCCUCCACCAAGGAUGUGUAUCUACCUCCCUACUCUCCUUCUCUCGCCAUCUCUAUCUCCUUUAUCAGUAGAGGAAGUUAAAAAAUGUUCAGGUUCCAACUACUCCUGUGUCACCACAAAGGAGUUUGGUGAAGUUUGUAUGGCAAAUGCCUUUUGACCCAGAAAAUGUUCAUAUGACAGCAAAGGUUGACAAAAAACAAGAUGUGUCAUUUUCUCCUUAAAACUAAGAGAUUUGCCUGUCUUGGUUGUACAGUACUUAAUAUUUCACCUUCUUUAAACUGAAGUCUGAAAAUUCUAUGAAGAAUAUAAUGAUUUUUUUAAAAUGACUUUAAAAGUUGAUGCUGGGCUGGGGCUGUAUCUCAGUGGUAGAGCACUUGCCUCGCAGGUGUGAGGCCCUGAGUUCGAUCCUCAGUACCACAUAAAAAUAAAUGAAUAAAAAUAAAGAUUUUUUUUUAAAGUUGAUGCUGCCAUGUUAACAUUUCUUUGACUUUGGUAGUUGCCCAUUUUGACAUUUCACAUGCAAGAAAAAAUGAGUAUUUUUAUGUACAUAUUGAGUAAAUGUACUGUAUAGUUAAAAAUAAGUUGUAGAAAAUAGGGAAAUUUUAAGUAUCAUGUACACUGUCUAGUAUUUGUGAACUUAAUUAGGCUGUACCUUCAGUGCUAUUUAAGUUUUCAAGGCAUGUGUGACUAGGUCACAGCCCAAACUAAGCAAUAAUAAAAGAAACAGCACUGCCUAACCCACUUCAAAGCUGGAUUAUCCAGAAUUGGUAUGGAUACAUCCUUAGGCAAAAACAGGUAUUGACUGGUGCAACAUUACAAAGGAACUAUUUGUCAUUCCUACCACUAAUACAAACAUAAUUUCUGAUGCAACUCCCUGAGCAAACUCAUUAAAUUCUUUAAACAAAUGUAAUGAAUCUCAAGGACAGAGGGAAAGAAAACCUGAGUAUAUACAUUUUAUCCAUUAUAUUUAAAAGAGAAAAAUAUACUAUCUUCUCAGUGCCUAGCAACCAAACCCUGAGUAUAGUCAGAGAGAGAUGAUUGAGCAAAAAUCCUUAUUUCACCUGGACCUUCCCAAGAUACCUGGCACACACCUCUGAUCCCAGGAACUCAGGAGGCUGAAGCAGAGGAUCAAAAAAGUUCAAGGCCAGGGCCUGGGCUGUGGCUUAGUGGUAGAGCACUUGCCUACCACUGCAUGAGACACUGGGUUUGAUCCUCAGUACCAUAUAAAAAUAAACAAAUAAAAUAAAGGUAUUGUGUCCACCAACAACUUAAAAAAAUUAAAAAUAAAAAAUGUUUGAGGCCAACCUUAGCAAUUCAGCGAGACCCUGUUUUAAAAUAAAAAGAGCUAAGGGUAUAACUAAGUGGAAGAGCCCUUGCGGUGGGUUCAAUCUUCGGUACCUCAAUAAAUAAUUAAUUUUUAAUAAACCUGGACCUUUUCCCAAAACACUUAUCAGUAGUUUGUCAAUAUGAGAAUUAGGAACUCUCAGUCUCUGAUUUGGGUGAUUGCUAUGUAGAGUCUGUAUUUUGUGAUUUAAUACUUUAUAUAUAUUAUAUUCCUGUAGUUUUACAAAAAAAAAAAAUGAAACUGAGAAAUUACCAUAUCAAGUCAUGUAUUUGGUAAAUGUGUAAAAUCACACUGUAUGUAUUGAAUGUAAAUUAUAUUGGUAAGUAUUAAUUUGAUUUAUUGGGUAACAUUGGUUUUAAUAUAUUAUAUCUUAAGAUAGUCUCUUUUUUUUUACAUUUUUUUUUGUUUUAAACCAUGGCUUUUUUUUUAAUAUCUUUAUUUUAUUUUUAUUUGGUGUUGAAGAUUGAACCCAGCACCCUGCACAUGCCAGGCAAGCGUGCUACCGCUUGAGCCACAUCCCCAGCCCCAAGAUAGUCUUUACUAGUAAAAAAAAUUUAAUACACUGAUUUUUUUUCUUCAAAGACUGAGCCACUGUCUACUGCAAAACCCUCCUUUAAAAGAAAUUUGUUAGAACCAGGUUUGGUGGUACAUGCCUGUAAGCCCAGCUACUUGGGAAGCAAGAGGAUCACAAGUUGAAGACGAGCUUGGGAAGCUUAGGGAUACUUUGUAUCAAAAUUGAAAAAACAGGAUAUAGCUCAGAGGUACAGUGCUUACUUACAUGUAUAAGGUCCUGGGUUCAAUCCACAUCCAGUACCGCCAAAAGUAAAAAAAAUAUGUUAGAAGUGAGCAUUAGAAUAAAAUGGUUUGGGGUGAGGAUGUAGCUUACUUAGUGUUAGAGUACUUGUCUCGCAUGAAUGAUGCUCUGGGUUCAAUCCCCAGAAAAUGAAAAAUGAAUAAUAGAAUAAAAUGUUUUCCCACAUAAAACAGGUGUAAAUUUUGUUCAGAACCAAGGGGGCGCUAUACCACUGA
rnacentral:lncRNA from 1 species